ensembl:snoRNA SNORD24 Small nucleolar RNA SNORD24
UGCAGAUGAUGUAAAAGAAUAUUUGCUAUUUGAAAGAUGGUGAUGACAUUUUAAACCACCAAGAUCGCUGAUGCA